GGCUGGUCUGAGUGCAGUGGUGUUUACAACUAAUUGAUCACAACCAGUCACAGAUUCAUUUGUUCCUUCUCCACUCCCACUGCUUCACUUAACCAGCCUGUG
rnacentral:Y_RNA from 1 species